GUAUUCCCAGUAGAUGUACUGCGGAGACUCCCUCACCUGGCACAGACAUAAAGUCUAAACGUAUCUACGAAUAAGACGUAAAGUAACUUCAUAUAGCCUCUCUGAAGAGGUCUUCAAAAGCUGGUCAAACAAAUUGUCACAAAUUCUGCCAUCUCUAUAACACGACAGUUAGGUGGAAGAUACAGUCAAUGAAACAAAGAAGGGAGCCAUGAGUUCUGGGAGAAAUCUGAGGGUAGACCUGACACCUCCUGCCUUUCGGAAUGAAAACUUGUUAUCUCGAUGAUUAGUUCCUGUGCUGAUUAUUCAAAAUAAAAUGAUUAA